AUGGUUCAGUCGAACGUAAGCAUCGUCAUAUUGUUGAAGUUGGUCUUACUCUUUUGGCCCAUGCAUCUGUUCCGUUUCGGUUUUGGAGUAAUGCUUUCACCACUGCAUGCUUUCUCAUCAACCGUUCUCCUUAAUGAACAACCUGAUUAUACCUUUCUCAAGGUAUUUGGGUGUGCUUGCUGGCCGCAUCUUCGUCCAUAUAACAAGCGCAAGCUUGAGUUUCGUUCUAAGAAGUGUGUUUUUCUUGGCUAUAGCUCUCUUCAUAAAGGUUACAAAUGUCUUCAUGUUCCCACUAAUCGUGUCUAUAUAUCUCGGGACGUCGUGUUUGAUGAGCAUGUUUUUCCCUUUGCCAACCUUCCUGUGUCCACUGUCGAACCACCAUCCCUGCAUUCAUCCUCUGUUGCUUCUGACCAAUUUGAUGAUGUUGCAUACUCUCCUUUGCUGUUACCUAACCAUGGUGCAGGAACCGGACGUGGAGCUCGUUUGGAGCUGUUGGAGGAUUCACCAUCAUCAUCGUCGUCUUCUGGUGGGCACGUCGAUCGCCCUAUGUUGCAUGGCAUCGAUUCGCGUGCCCAUGCAUGGUCACCCGACGAGCCCGUCGCGCCGAGCAUCUCCACUGCUCGGUCCGCUACGCCAGCGAUCGCCGAGUCUCCAGCGGCUCGGCCUUUUUCGCCAGCGGCCGCCGAGUCGCCCGCGGCUCGGCCCGUCACGCCGUCUUCGCCCGCGGCUCGGGUCCUCACGUCGCCUUCAUCAGCGGAUCGGCCCGCGACAACGGCCGCGCCACAGCCCACUAUGCCGAGCUCGCCAUCGGCCCGGUCUGUGAUGCCGGAGUCGCCAGCUGCUUCGUCUGUUCUGCCAGUUUCGCCGGUGGGCCGGCCUUCUUCGCCGACCGAGUCCGAGGCUACCGCGACUGGCUCCUCGUCACCGGCUGACUCAUCAACAUCGCCGUCCUCCAGCCCGUUGCAGGCUGCUCCGUCGACCUCGGUGGUUCCUGUGUCUCGACCACAUACACGCAGUCGCAGUGGCAUUUUCAAACCUAAGGAACGUACGGAUGGUACGGUUGCUUGGUUGGCUGCUUGUUUGGCUGCUGCUGUUGCGGAUCCAUCUUCUGAGCCUCGCUCAUAUCAGGCUGCCCUGCGCAUUCCACAUUGGCGAGAGGCUAUGGAGCAGGAGUUUCAUGCUCUUCUUCGUAACAAGACAUGGACUCUCGUUCCUCCACCACCACGGGUAAAUGUUAUUGACUCAAAAUGGGUAUUCAAAGUGAAGAAGCAUUCGGAUGGAUCUAUUGAGCGUUACAAAGCGCGACUUGUUGCUCGCGGCUUUCGACAGCUUCAUGGUCUUGACUAUGAGGACACCUUCAGUCCUGUCGUCAAGCCUACCACUAUUCGGCUUCUUCUCUCCAUUGUUGUUUCUCGUGGUUGA
rnacentral:rRNA from 1 species